CAGACUAUUUAUGACUUCAAUCUAUCUAUCUAUCUAUAUCUAGGAUAAGCAUUUCUAAUCAUAUUUGUCUGUGAAAUCUUCCAUUAAACUGAUGGCUUUUUAGCCGUAAAAAUGCAUCUUGACGAGGAGUUAUUUGCAGUUUGACUAAUUGCUUUUGUUGUUUCUUUUGUAGGCUUUGAAAAACCUGGCAAUGAAUUAUUCUGGCUGAAUUCUGUCACUUAUCAAGCAAAAAUCUGAGUUGCAAUCAGAGUUCUUCAAAGAUCUCGACAAAUACACUCCUCGCUUCCUGGAGAAGUUCAAGACCCAGAGGGGGAAAGUGUCGGACAGAAACUUGGAUAUCUGCAACAAGUCACACCUGGGAGUACAGAUGUGACUGGGAGGUGAACAGCAGUCCUCCGUGGCUCUCCCGUCAUCCUUGGAGAUGACAACGCAGACUUCUUCAAGAAUUUGUGUGAGUUUAGGAUGGCGUGAAGCUUCGACUUGACCCUAUGGAAACACAGCAGAUGCCACCAAAGGGUCCUGAUCGGGGACUCUGAUGACCUUCUGGACGUGUCCCACACCUCCAUUGGGACCCUGACGGUGCUGAAGACAUGGUGGCCUCCUCACUCGCUGGACCUGGAGUC